UUACUUGGAUAACUGUGGUAAUUCUAGAGCUAAUACAUGCAAACAGAGCUCCGACCGGAGACGGAAGGAGCGCUUUUAUUAGAUCAAAACCGAUCGGUGGUGGGUUCGCCCAUCAUCGUACAAUUUGGUGAAUCUGAAUAACUUUAAGCUGAUCGCACGGUCUUGCACCGGCGACGCAUCUUUCAAAUGUCUGCCUUAUCAACUGUCGAUGGUAGGUUCUGCGCCUACCAUGGUUGUAACGGGUAACGGGGAAUCAGGGUUCGAUUCCGGAGAGGGAGCCUGAGAAACGGCUACCACAUCCAAGGAAGGCAGCAGGCGCGCAAAUUACCCACUCCCGGCACGGGGAGGUAGUGACGAAAAAUAACGAUACGGGACUCAUCCGAGGCCCCGUAAUCGGAAUGAGUACACUCUAAACCCUUUAACGAGGAUCAAUUGGAGGGCAAGUCUGGUGCCAGCAGCCGCGGUAAUUCCAGCUCCAAUAGCGUAUAUUAAAGUUGUUGCGGUUAAAAAGCUCGUAGUCGAAUCUGUGUCUCGCGCCGCCGGUUCAUCGUUCGCGGUGUUAACUGGCGUGCCGCGGGACGUCCUGCCGGUGGGCUUAGCUCGAGAGGGCGGCCCAAAUCAAUCCUGCCGCGGUGCUCUUCAUUGAGUGUCGAGGUGGGCCGGCACGUUUACUUUGAACAAAUUAGAGUGCUUAAAGCAGGCUAAAUUUCGCCUGAAUACUGUGUGCAUGGAAUAAUGGAAUAGGACCUCGGUUCUAUUUUGUUGGUUUUCGGAACCCCGAGGUAAUGAUUAAUAGG
rnacentral:rRNA from 2 species